AUUGAACGCUGGCGGCAUGCCUUACACAUGCAAGUCGAACGGCAGCACGGGGGCAACCCUGGUGGCGAGUGGCGAACGGGUGAGUAAUAUAUCGGAACGUGCCAUAGAGUGGGGGAUAACUAGUCGAAAGAUUAGCUAAUACCGCAUACGAUCUACGGAUGAAAGUGGGGGAUCGCAAGACCUCAUGCUCUGUGAGCGGCCGAUAUCUGAUUAGCUAGUUGGUGGGGUAAAGGCCCACCAAGGCGACGAUCAGUAGCUGGUCUGAGAGGACGACCAGCCACACUGGGACUGAGACACGGCCCAGACUCCUACGGGAGGCAGCAGUGGGGAAUUUUGGACAAUGGGGGCAACCCUGAUCCAGCAAUGCCGCGUGUGUGAAGAAGGCCUUCGGGUUGUAAAGCACUUUUGGCGGGAACGAAACGGUUGGGGCUAAUAUCCCUUGCUAAUGACGGUACCCGCAGAAUAAGCACCGGCUAACUACGUGCCAGCAGCCGCAGUAACAC
rnacentral:rRNA from 1 species